GACGAACGCUGGCGGCGUGCUUAACACAUGCAAGUCGAACGGUGAAGCGCCUUCCUUUUUGGUGGGUGUGGAUGAGUGGCGAACGGGUGAGUAACACGUGAGUAACCUGCCCCCUUCUUCUGGAUAACCGCAUGAAAGUGUGGCUAAUACGGGAUAUUCUGGGUCUGUCGCAUGAUGGGUCUGGGAAAGAUAUUGUUUCGGUGGGGGAUGGGCUCGCGGCCUAUCAGCUUGUUGGUGGGGUGAUGGCCUACCAAGGCGGUGACGGGUAGCCGGCCUGAGAGGGUGGACGGUCACACUGGGAGUGAGACACGGGCAAGACUCCUACGGGAGGCAGCAGUGGGGAAUAUUGCACAAUGGGCGAAAGGCUGAUGCAGCGACGCCGCGUGAGGGAUGGAGGCCUUCGGGUUGUGAACCUCUUUCGCCCGUGAAGCAGGCCUGCCUCGUAUGUGGGUGGGUUGACGGUAGCUGGAUAAGAAGCGCCGGCUAACUACGUG
rnacentral:rRNA from 1 species